rnacentral:rRNA from 1 species
AUUGAACGCUGGCGGCAGGCCUAACACAUGCAAGUCGAGCGCGAAAAUUCCUUCGGGAAUGAGUAGAGCGGCGGACGGGUGAGUAACGCGUAGGAAUCUGCCCGGUAGUGGGGGACAACAGUCGGAAACGACUGCUAAUACCGCAUACGCCCUAAGGGGGAAAGCAGGGGAUCUUCGGACCUUGCGCUAUCGGAUGAGCCUGCGUCGGAUUAGCUUGUUGGUGGGGUAAUGGCCUACCAAGGCGACGAUCCGUAGCUGGUCUGAGAGGAUGAUCAGCCACACUGGGACUGAGACACGGCCCAGACUCCUACGGGAGGCAGCAGUGGGGAAUAUUGGACAAUGGGGGAAACCCUGAUCCAGCCAUGCCGCGUGUGUGAAGAAGGCC